GAUGAACGCUGGCGGCGGGCCUAAUACAUGCAAGUCGAGCGAACAGACGAGGAUCUUGGUCCGCUGACGUUAGCGGCGGACGGGUUAGUAACACGUGGACAACCUACCUAUAAGACUGGGAUAACUUCGGGAAACCGGAGCUAAUACCGGAUAAUAUAUUGAACCGCAUGUAUCCAUAGUUAAAGACGGUUUUUCUGUCACUUAUAGCUUGAUCCGCGUCGCAUUAGCUAGUUGGUGAGGUAACGGCUUAUCCAGGCUGCGAUGGGUAGCCGACCUGAGAGGGUGGUCCGCCAGACGGGAAGUGAGACACAGUCGCGACACCGAGACGGGGCCACAGUAGGGACUCUUCCGCGAUGGGGGAGAGCCGGACGGAGGAACGCCGCGUGAAUGAUGAAGGUCUUCGGAUCGGAAAACGCUGUUAGUCGGGGAGAACAAAUGUGUAAGUAACUAUGCACGUCUUGACGGUACCUGAACAAGAAGCCACGGCUAACUACGUG
rnacentral:rRNA from 1 species